GACGAACGAUGGCGGCGUGCCUAAUACAUGCAAGUAGAACGCAGUUGCGAACGGGUGAGUAACGCGGAGGUAACUGCGUUAUCGCGGGGGAUAACUAUUGGACACGAUAGCUAAUACCGCAUACUGUGAGAUGGACCUGCGUUGUAUUAGCUAGUUGGUGAGGUAAAGGCUCACCAAGGAGACGAUACAUAGCCGACCUGAGAGGGUGAUCGGCCACAGUGGGACUUGGAGACGGGCCAGAAUCCUACUGGAGGCAGCAGUAGGGAAGCUGCGGCAAUGGACGGAAGUCUGACCGAGCAACGCCGCGUGAGUGAAGAAGGUUUUCGGAUCGUAAAGCUCUGGUGUUAGAGAAGGGGUAUCUAACCAGAAAGGGACGGCUAACUACGUGCCAGCAGCCGCGGUAAUUC
rnacentral:rRNA from 1 species